AUUGAACGCUGGCGGCAGGCCUAACACAUGCAAGUCGAACGGUAACAGGAAGAAGCUUGCUUCUUUGCUGACGCGUGGCGGACGGGUGAGUCAUGUCUGGGAAACUGCCUGAUGGAGGGGGAUACCUACUGGAAACGGUAGCUAAUACCGCAUAACGUCGCAAGACCAAAGAGGGGGACCUUCGGGCCUCUUGCCAUCGGCUGUGCCCAGAUGGGAUUAGCUAGUAGGUGGGGUAACGGCUCACCUAGGCGACGAUCCCUAGCUGGUCUGAGAGGGUGACCAGCCACACUGGAACUGAGACACGGUCCAGACUCCUACGGGAGGCAGCAGUGGGGAAUAUUGCACAAUGGGCGCAAGCCUGAUGCAGCCAUGCCGCGUGUAUGAAGAAGGCCUUCGGGUUGUAAAGUACUUUCAGCGGGGAGGAAGGGAGUAAAGUUAAUACCUUUGCUCAUUGACGGUACCCGCAGAAGAAGCACCGGCUAACUCCGUG
rnacentral:rRNA from 1 species